rnacentral:rRNA from 1 species
GGAGGGUGCAAGCGUUGUCCGGAUUUAUUGGGUUUAAAGGGUGCGUAGGCGGCUCUUUAAGUCAGCGGUGAAAGUCCACAGCUUAACUGUGGGAUUGCCAUUGAUACUGAAGAGCUUGAGUAUAGUUGAGGUAGGCGGAAUUGACAGUGUAGCGGUGAAAUGCAUAGAUAUUGUCAAGAACACCGAUUGCGUAGGCAGCUUACUAAGCUAUAACUGACGCUGAGGCACGAAAGUGUGGGGAUCAAACAGGAUUAGAUACCCUGGUAGUCCACACUGUAAACGAUGAUCACUCGCUGUUGGCGAUAUACAGUCAGCGGCUUAGCGAAAGCGUUAAGUGAUCCACCUGGGGAGUACGCUCGCAAGAGUG